UUCUACACUGGGUGGGUUUGAGUUUAAGGCUUGUUUUGGCUCACGCUGGAAGGGCGCUAAGAUCAAGGUUCCCUGGACGCCCUGUAGCUUGUUUGGGUUGGACUGCUACUGAUAGCUGAUUUGUGGUGUCAAGUUUAUGGUGGUAUUAUAUAAUUUCCUUCAAAUACAGUCAAAUCAUUUCACUGCGGUACUAUUGUUGCGACAUUGUUUUGCUGCUACCAAUGUAAUUUGUGCAGCCAUAUCUCCAUGUGAUUAUGUUUAUGAGUAUCGAAGUCAGAUACCUAAGUUCAUUGUCCUGUGGAGCCGUGGUGUUGGUAUUUGGUAUUAUACUAUUUAGCGACAGGGUAGGCACAUACUUAUAAAUGUCUAUUGAUGUUGUUGUUGCAAUAAAGAUUGUUCUUUACGUAAAUAUAUAUUUAUGGUGUGAUGAUGAUGACCAUUAUGACAUUGUUUGCAGGGUUCGCCAUGGUUCUUGAUAGGUAUGGUGCUGUUCGAAUCCGUUUUACAUGGCGGAACCGUUCUGUUAACAAAUCCACUCCAAAGACAAGUCAGAAGGUCCUCGCAGAUUGCAAGGACCAAAGGGGUUAUGGAGGUAUGGCUUUUCAUUUUGUGCAUUUGUUGGCUGUUAUGUCACGGUUGUUGCUUAUUAGCUUGCCAUUGCAUUUGUGGAUAAAAAGAGGGAGAAAAAAUAUUAAUAAAACAUUAAUGUUAUAGAUUGUCCUUAUGCUUUUGUUCUACUUAAUUAAUAUGGAGUAGUGCUUUUGUUCUACUUAAUUAUUAUGGAGUAGUUUAGGUUGGUUUAACCUUUGCUUAGCUAGUAAGUUUAGUCAGCUGCUGACCAACAUCAAUUUGAUUUUGCGUAUCUACCAUCAGCAUCUAUAAUAAAUUCAUGGUUGGUUGGAUCUUUUUUAAUUAGUAGAUAAAUUGUGCAUGUUAAUAGCGAAUAGUCAAAUUUGAUAUUUGCAUUUACUGGCAGCUGCUAUAUCUUUAUGGUCGAUUAGUAAACCAUUUUUUAUUUGUCCUUAUGCAGGAAAAUAUACUUACUUUAGUUUCUGCACUCCUCUCGAAGCGCACCAAAGGCUGAAGGUGGAUCAGCCUUGUGCAGAACUUUCAUGGGAAGACCUUGAGAAUAAAAGCAGGGCUCUGUAUAAAGAAAUUUAUUCUGUGUUGAGGUGCCAGACUGUUCUAAAGGACACAGGUGUAUGCUAAAGGACUCAGAGGUGAGCAACUGUUUUUUACCCUGUCCAUUUACGAUUACGGAACCUGGAAACACUUAAGAUAAAGGACUAUGAAGAAAUCAACACUAGUGUAGCUGAUGUUAGUCAUGCGGUGAAAAAUUAUAUGAAGGAUGGUCCAAUGAUCGGCGUAUUUGAAGUAUUUGGAAGCACAUUUGAUCAUUACGGCAAACCAAAAGACAAAUCAAACUUCUUUGAUGAUAUCUAUGUUGUUAAUCCGCAACAGCGGGGCAGGUGGACUCAUACUAUGACAAUCACAGGAUUUGGUGUCCUAGGGAAAUACCCGUUCUGGGAGUUCCAAAAUUCUUAUGGUCCCUUAUGGCGUGGAGCUGCUCGAGGGUUUGGUCAGAUCUAUGCAGUCCAUCUUUACCGUCUUUAUGGUUUUACUCUAGCCUAGUAUCAUGUUAUUUCGAGUUUGUAUUUGUAGUAUCGAGUUAGUUGUCUGCUACCUGAACAACGACAAUUUAUGUUUGUAAUGGUUUGGAUUGAGAUGGAAUGAUAUGGUAUGUUGCUUAUGAAGUAUGCUGAAAUCUCAUGAUUUGACAUUUUAUAAGUGGUUUGGCUUGGCUUA